GCCUGGCUGGCUCAGUCGGUAGAGCAUGUGACUCUUGAUCUUGGGAUUGUGAAUUCAAGCCCCACACUAGGUG
rnacentral:tRNA from 1 species